AAUAAACUAAAUAAAAUUACAUUUAAAUCCACCUUCAAUAAAAUUUUUCAAUUUUAUAUUCAAAUAAAUAAAUUUAUUGUAAUCCAUUAUAUUCUUAAUUAUAAUCUACAUCUUGAUCUGAAUUAAUUUUUUAUUAUAAUUUUUAAAUAUUAUAAAUUAAUAAAAAAUAUUUUUUUAACAACGAUAUAUAAAAUUUUAAAUUAAGUAAAUUUAUUCGUGGAUUAUCAAUUAUUAAACAGAUUCCUCUAAAUGAACUAAAAUACCGCCAUAUUAUUUAAGUUUCAAUAAAUAAUUAUUUACUAUUUUAGUAUUAUAAUUUAAAUUUUUAAUAAUAGGGUAUCUAAU
rnacentral:rRNA from 1 species